AGAGCGAACGCUGGCGGCAGGCUUAACACAUGCAAGUCGAACGGGCAUAGCAAUAUGUCAGUGGCAGACGGGUGAGUAACGCGUGGGAACAUACCUCUUGGUUCGGAACAACACAGGGAAACUUGUGCUAAUACCGGAUAAGCCCUUACGGGGAAAGAUUUAUCGCCGAGAGAUUGGCCCGCGUCUGAUUAGCUAGUUGGUGUGGUAAAAGCGCACCAAGGCGACGAUCAGUAGCUGGUCUGAGAGGAUGAUCAGCCACAUUGGGACUGAGACACGGCCCAAACUCCUACGGGAGGCAGCAGUGGGGAAUUUUCGUCAAUGGGGGAAACCCUGAACGAGCAACGCCGCGUGCAGGAUGAAGGUUUUCGGAUCGUAAACUGCUUUUCUGUGGGACGAGCAAGGACGGUACCACAGGAAGAAGCCCCGGCUAACUACGUGCCAGCAGCCGC
rnacentral:rRNA from 1 species